rnacentral:rRNA from 1 species
CGGCAACAGCUCAAAUUUGAAAUCUGGUCCUUUUGGGGCCCGAGUUGUAAUUUGUAGAGGGUGUUUCGGGUGUGGCCCCGGUCUAAGUUCCUUGGAACAGGACGUCACAGAGGGUGAGAAUCCCGUACGUGCCCGGUGGCCGCCCCCGUGUGAAGCUCCUUCGAC